GACGAACGCUGGCGGCGUGCUUAACACAUGCAAGUCGAACGAAGAGCGAUGGAAGCUUGCUUCUAUCAAUCUUAGUGGCGCACGGGUGAGUAACGCGUAAUCAACCUGCCCUUCAGAGGGGGACAACAGUUGGAAACGACUGCUAAUACCGCAUACGAUCUAAUCUCGGCAUCGAGGAUAGAUGAAAGGUGGCCUCUACAUGUAAGCUAUCACUGAAGGAGGGGAUUGCGUCUGAUUAGCUAGUUGGAGGGGUAACGGCCCACCAAGGCGAUGAUCAGUAGCCGGUCUGAGAGGAUGAACGGCCACAUUGGGACUGAGACACGGCCCAGACGCCUACGGGAGGCAGCAGUGGGGAAUCUUCCGCAAUGGACGAAAGUCUGACGGAGCAACGCCGCGUGAGUGAUGACGGCCUUCGGGUUGUAAAGCUCUGUUAAUCGGGACGAAAGGCCUUCUUGCGAAUAGUGAGAAGGAUUGACGGUACCGGAAGAGAAAGCCACGGCUAACUACGUG
rnacentral:rRNA from 1 species